UCCCAGGUGGCUCAGAGGGUAAAGCAUCUGCCUGCAAUGCAGGAGACCUGGGUUCGAUCCCCGGGUUGGGAA
rnacentral:tRNA from 1 species